GUCCUAUUCCCCCCGCCCUCAUGGAAUCUAUAAAGAAACAGGAUAAGGGGUUUCAUCAGAGCCUCAACUUUCCAAAUAGAUAUGAAGCCACUGUUUAUAGCUGCUGUGGAUAAAAUGUGGUCAUAUAUGCAGCUUUUAUAGCUGCUUAAAUUUUCUCAGGGUGUAUUGUAUGCAUUAUCAGAAAUUCGCAUGCUGUAGGUAGUUUUGAUGAUAAUAAGCUAAGAAGUUGGCCAAAACUGAGCGGUAGGCGGAUACCAUUUUCUAUUUGGCUGAAAAGGCAACUUUUUUAAAAUUAAAGUAUAGUUGAUUUAAAAUGUUGUGCCAGUUUCUGCUGUACAGCAGUUCCCUUUCCUAUAUUAUCUUCCAUUAUGUUCAAGAGACUAGAUGUGUUCCCUGAGCUGUACCAUAGGACCUCAUUGCUUAUCCAUUCUAAAUGUAACUGUUUGCAUUUGCUAAUCCCAAACUCCCUCCUCCCUCCCCUUGGUAACCACAAGUAUGUUCUCUAUGUCUGUGAGUCUGUUUCUGGUUUGUAGAUAGGUUCAUUUGUGUGAUAAGGCAGCUUUCAUGCCUUUAGAGGUCUGUUAGCCAUCCAGAGAAUCAGAAAGCAUUUAAAAAAUGUCUUGUUAGUUAAUAGUUUUUGUCAUAAUAUUGACUACUAGAAAGUAAAAAUGGCUAUCAAGCUGACAUUUAUCAUUUAGUAACAGUCACAAUUCUUUAUGUGCUCAGUAAUAAGUAAGCUUAAAAUAGGAAUGAUAUGACAUUUUUUCUUGAUAUUCUUAAAAAUUAACAUGAUUGUGCUGCUUAGAAAAAUCACUGUUUUCUAGGCUAUAUUGUAAGAACAAAAAAUUAGGCUAAGGUGUACACAUAAGUGGAACUCGUUUUGGUAUCCAUAUAAUUCUUUAAAAGGUGAAAGACACAACACAAAUCUCACAGUGUGCUCAGUACAUUGUAAUUUCUGUUAGAUAAUAUACUUUCACUUUUUAGUUUGGUAAAUAAAAAUUUGCCUCAACAUAUCCCUUGAUGUCCUCCUUGGGCAAAUUGAGCUAUUUUUCUCCCCUAGAUUCUGAGAUAUAAAGAAAAUGAGACAUUCCUUCCCACCCCCAAGGAGGUUUGGUUUGCUUGUUUGGGGAUAUAUGUUAUAUGUUAACAUGUAACAUAUAAUUAUGUGUUACAAUACAGCUUGGACACUUGAGGCGUAUGAGAGGCAGAGUGAUUGCCCAGCGGAAGGAAUGGUCAACCCUCUGGCUGGAAGGGGUCACAGUGAUGUGAUAUAAGAAGACAUGGUCCUUUUCCCAAAUAUGAUUUUGACAAGUCAAGACGAUAAUGUAAUCCGUGCAUUUCAUAAGCCCUGAAAUUUCCUCAAGAAGAACUUAGUUUUUAUUCUCUGCGUUGUGUUUGUGAGGGAGGUGGAAGGCUGGUUUAUACCCCAAAAGCUAAGGCAUUAAAUAGCUUAGGUUAUGCUUUAGUAUUGUAGCAAGGAGCAGCACUAAUAUUUCUAAUUUUUUAAACUUUUAAUGCCUAUUUUUUGCAGAUUUAAAAAAAAAAUCAAAACCAUAACUGUGAGUCCCUCCUAUUUGCAAAUUCUUCUAGAAUGUUAACGUAGAUAAUUUUAUUUUAGAAGUGAAAUAUUUGGAAAAUUUAAAAAAUAUUUUAUGUGUUAACAGAGCAUCUGCCACCAUAAUUUCAUUUAUAUCCCCCCUCUUCCCCCCCCGCCCCGCCCUGGGUGCUUCGUUGAAAUUAGGAAAUGAAUCCCAAAGGGAUGACUAGUUAUAACGUUGUGGUUCAGUUGUCAAGCAGGUCCCAAGUUUGAGUAGGAUAAACUCUCCUACCACCUUCUAGGACAUUGUUGGUGCCAGGGCUUAUGCUUAGUUCUGGGACUUAGGCAGUCAUUCUUGCAGGUGGUUUCUAGCUUUUUAUCACCUAAUGGCCUUCUUACAACUUGGAGAAAAAAAGCCGUAUUUACCCUUCCCAGUUCCCUGCCCUGGGCAAUAUCAGACAUGCUGCAGGACAGGCACAAGCCAAGUAGAAGGCAGUGUGUUUGAGGCAAGUGCGUGAUGAACUUUGGAGAUUGGAGUUGAGUGUUGAUAGGCAGGAAUGUGUCUGGUGGACCAGGACAAGAGAGCAAAGGCUUAGAGGAAAGAUGCAUGCUUCCUAAAGCCAGGCUGUGGUUCAUCUGCAGCAGUGAUAAGAGAGGCUUGUAAUAGCUGUAUAUGACAUGUGUGUGAACUUGGUCUUUGGGGAAAUAGGAUGCCACUGAAGCAUUUUAAGUAGGAGAAUCACAUCAGAGUUUUGUAUUAGAAAAAUUCUUUGAAGGUAAACUGCAGUGGAGAUGGAAGCCUGUUAAAAAGUUCUGUGAUGGUUAUCUGUACAAAAUGCAGUGUUAAUUAAAAGACACAAGCAUUUUAUGCUGUUUAUGUGUGGGUACAGUACAGUGUAAGAUACUGUGUGGAGAAGAAAAUGUAGAUAAGGUUCUUAUCUGUUCUCAGCUAAUUUAAAAGCUGGAAGGGAAAUAAGGCACACCCAUGAACAUACACACAAUCGUACAGGGAACAUAUGACCAUCCCUGUGAGAGGCGUAAACAGCUUGCUGGGAAAUUCCGUAAAAGGAGGAUCCCUCUGGUUAGAGGAGAGGGAGAUGUUUGCAUUUUCUUUGCAUUCACUUUAAAUUGUUACUAAUGCAUUUCUUUAAGGAAAUUACAUAAAAUAUUUUUACAGCAAAACAUAAAGGGUCGGGGGGGAGUUUCUUAAAUAGUUUGGAGAGUUUAAACUAGUUGGGCAGAUUUUUUUUUUUUUUUUUUCUGGUUUAAAAGAUCUGGCAUUGCUGUGAGCUGUGGUGUAGGCUGGCAGUUGUAGCUCUGAUUAGACCCCUAGUCUGGGAACCUCUGUAUGCCUCAGGUGUGGCCCU
rnacentral:lncRNA from 1 species